UUCUGAAAUUUGAGUUACAACUCAAAUCUAACUUAGGCCCACCUAAGCUAAAAAGUGGGCUUGGAGUUCUCGGCUUCAAAUUGUGGGGUCUUGAGUCUGCCUCAAGUUACACUCAAAAUUUGAGUUUUUUGAACUUAGACUAGAUCUUCAAGUUCUAAAACAUUUUUACAAGAUCCUUCCCCUUUCUUUAUUCUUUAUUGCAAAAGGAUAAAGCCCAACAUCUUAUUUCAGCAACACAGCUCUCAAUUUAGUUUUUGUCUCUUUCUUUUUGCCGACAAGUUGCUAUUUCCCUUUCUAUUUUCUCCGCAAAUGCAAGCACAAAGACCAUUCUGUCACUUCUCGAAAUUCCUAAUCCUAGCUACUCGGACCAUUGAAAAACUCCUCCAAUCCUUUCCCUUUCCUUUGCCGUUUAAAAGAAUUCCAAAAGGUGCCUAACUAAAAGUGAAUCCCAAACCGAAAACCCACUGCUAGAAGAAAAUCUUUUGUUUUCGUCUUUCAGUUGUUGUCAAUUGUUGAUUCUAUCUCUAUGGCUAUUUUUGAUGCGUGACUCUGCCCUAGAAAGUAGCGGGUAUGAACUCAGGAAUCCCCUUCCUUGCUUUGUCGAUCACCAUAUUCCCAAGCUUUCAUUGUCAGCAGUGAACGACCUUUUGGCAGUAGAUAGGUGAUGAAGCUGGAUUCCUUUUGGGCUUCUGGGUGGUGGUCGUAGUUACAGUAGCUUCUGGGUUGUGGGGCUGUUACUGUUAGGCUAGUGAAUUCCCUAAUUAUUGGUCGGGAUUGAUUUUAAGACCCUAGUUGAGUAUGCUGGGUGCUGCUUUGGUUCUACUUUGGUGGGUUUGCAGUUAGCGGAGUGAUUUUGCCUAGCUUUUGAUUUUUGGUUCCCUCAAAUUUUUUAUGUACUUGCUAUGUGUUUCGAACUGCUGGGUAUUUGGUGAAUUAUUGGUUAUGGUAGAGCCUAGCGGAAUUGGUGGUGGCCUUGGAUCGAUUGAUGGUGACAGUGUGACGUGAAAAAUAGUUUUCAACUUGGCAAUGGUGUUGGCUUUUGGA